GACGAACGCUGGCGGCGUGCUUAACACAUGCAAGUCGAGCGGUAAGGCCCUUUCGGGGGUACACGAGCGGCGAACGGGUGAGUAACACGUGGGUGACCUGCCCUCAGCUCUGGGAUAAGCCUGGGAAACUGGGUCUAAUACUGGAUAUGACUCCACGGUGCAUGUCGUGGGUGGAAAGCCUUGUGCGGCUGAGGAUGGGCCCGCGGCCUAUCAGCUUGUUGGUGGGGUGAUGGCCUACCAAGCGACGACGGGUAGCCGGCCUGAGAGGGCGACCGGCCACACUGGGACUGAGACACGGCCCAGACUCCUACGGGAGGCAGCAGUGGGGAAUCUUGCGCAAUGGGCGAAAGCCUGACGCAGCGACGCCGCGUGAGGGAUGACGGCCU
rnacentral:rRNA from 1 species